rnacentral:lncRNA from 1 species
CUCUAUUUGAUCUCACUCCUACACAACUUUAGUUUUCCCUUUUCUUGUUUUCUCCAUGCUUCCAGAACUAGGUUGAUUGGAUUGGGAUCACCCUCAUAUUUUAUUUGAUUUAGAAAAACAUCAUUAAAUAACAGGAUGAGCAUAAAUUGCGCAAUAAGCCCAGAUUAGCACCUCAAGCAAUUAGAAUCUAUAUUACAUUGCAGUAACUCAUUCACCCUGGUGGUGUUUUCCUCAACUCAAAUCACUUACCUAUAAUUUUCACUUAUCCUAUAAUGCCCCGCAACCUAUAAUAGUCGAGGUAUCCUGUUUUAAAUUACAAGUAAUACAUACUUCUCAAAUUCAUCAUUAUCAACCCAGUCAAAAUGUUCCUUAGCUUCCUAUCAACAUACGUUACACCACAAUGAAUGACAAAGAUGUUCUUAUACAUGUGUGUUAAUUUUAGCUAUUAUGUUCGUAUGAGUAUAAUGGUGUAAAUCUCGCUUAUUCUCCUCUUGUAUCCCUAUGUAUUGGAUUCCGCUGGUGGUGAAUAUUAUCUUGAUUCCUGCUUCACUACAUCUGUAAAUAAACAGGAAUGAGCCUACCCAUGCCCAUGAAGUCAAAUUUAAAUUCAAACAAUGUAUUGAAAUCAAUAAAAUUCCUAAACCGGAGUUGCACUCAACUAUCUCUCUCACUCCAGACAGUCCCCUUUUUCCCUCUAAAGGAAUAUUGUAGAUAUUUUAAACUCUCCCCAAAGCUCGCAGGUACAAAUAGCCCAUUAUCACUUCCCUGACUUGUCCCAACAGUCUCUAUACUCUUUGUCAUCAC